UACGGGGGGGGCGUAGUGUUGUUCGGAAUUACUGGGCGUAAAGGGCGCGCAGGCGGCUUGGCAAGUCGAGUGUGAAAUCCCUUAGCUUAACUAAGGAAUGGCGCUCGAAACUACCUCGCUAGAGGACGGGAGAGGGAAGUGGAACUCUCGGUGUAGGGGUGAAAUCUGUAGAUAUCGGGAGGAACACCAGUGGCGAAGGCGACUACCUGGCCUGUUCUUGACGCUGAGGCGCGAAAGCUAGGGGAGCAAACGGG
rnacentral:rRNA from 1 species